rnacentral:rRNA from 1 species
ACUCCUACGGGAGGCAGCAGUGGGGAAUAUUGCACAAUGGGGGAAACCCUGAUGCAGCGACGCCGCGUGAGUGAAGAAGUAUUUCGGUAUGUAAAGCUYUACCAGCAGGGAAGAAAAUGACGGUACCUGAGUAAGAAGCCCCGGCUAACUACGUGCCAGCAGCCGCGGUAAUACGUAGGGGGCAAGCGUUAUCCGGAUUUACUGGGUGUAAAGGGAGCGCAGACGGCUCUGCAAGUCUGAAGCGAAAGCCCGCGGCUUAUCCGCGGGACUGCUUUGGAAACUGCAAGGCUUGAGUAUCGGAGGGGCAGGCGGAAUUCCUAGUGUAGCGGUGAAAUGCGUAGAUAUUAGGAAGUACMCCGGUGGCGAAGGCGGCCUGCUGGACGAAAACUGACGUKGAGGCUSGAAGGCGUGGGGAGCAAMCAGGAUUAGAUACCCUGGUAGUCCGCGCGGUAAACGAUGAAUACUAGGUGUUUSUGCCCGAAGGGCAUCGGUGCCGUCGCAAACGCAAUAAGUAUUCCACCUGGGGAGUACGUUCGCAAGAAUGAAACUCMAAYGAAUUGACG